rnacentral:rRNA from 1 species
UGCGUAGGCGGAAUAUUAAGUCAGUGGUGAAAUCCUGCGGCUCAACCGUAGAACUGCCAUUGGUACUGAUAUUCUUGAAUGUAGUUGAGGUAGGCGGAAUGUGUAAUGUAGCGGUGAAAUGCUUAGAUAUUACACAGAACACCGAUUGCGAAGGCAGCUUACUAAACUAUGAUUGACGCUGAGGCACGAAAGCGUGGGGAGCGAACAGGAUUAGAUACCCUGGUAGUCC